GUUCUACACGAUGGCACUAUUGUAGGUGUUGGUACAUCCAAUCGAUUGUGGACAAAGAGCAGUUUAGAUGCGACUUGGCAAGGUCCUGUAGCAAAUAGUGGUUCAGUGAUGGAUGUUACUGUAAUGCCUGAUGGUACAAUCGUUGGUAUUGGUAUGAACAACCUUUUGUAUACUCGUCCUGGUGUUCAGGGAUUAUGGUCUGGCCCUGUUGCAAAUAGUGGAUCCGUAAAGUCCAUAUCGGUGCUACCAGAUGGAAGUAUAUUAGGUGUUGGAAUGAAUGGCAAAUUAUAUAAAAGACCUGGUAUACAAGGAGUAUGGGCAAAUGUGGAUGGUAAUGGUAUAGUGUCUGAUAUAUCCGUUAACAAAGAUGGUGCAGUAAUUGGCAUUGGAACCACAUGUGGUUUGUGGGAGAGAUCUUCCUAUACAUCGUAUUGGCAAGGUGAAAUUUCCAAUAGCAGAUGUGUUACUUCUGUGUCGUUCGGCAUCUAAAUACGAAAUAAACAUAAUUUCCGCUAAUGGUGUAUUAGACACCGAUUUAGAUAUUUCUGAAAGACAACGUUAUCAGAAUAUAUGCUAAUGAAUAAUAAUUCUUUUUAGUCACUUAUUUGUAUGAAUUGUAAUGCAUGAUUAAUUGAAAAGGUAAUAAAGUUAAGCAAAUUGAUCUCAGUUCAUUCACA